CCACCAGCCUCCAGGGCACCCACCUCGGAUGCUAAGGCUCAGCUUGCCACUCGCCGCCCCUGCCUCACCAAUGCGGGUCUGAGGCAGCAGCCCUGGGCAUAGCCCUGUGACCUGCUGCCGAGGCUGAGGUAGCACAGAUCCACACCCAGAUACACACAUGACACGCAUAGACACAGACACCCACCCACACACAAACACACAGACACCCCCCCACACAGACACACAGACACCCCCCGACAGACACACACACAGACAUCCACAGACACACAGACACCCACAGAUAAACAUACAGACAUGCAGACACCCACACACACAUAAAGGCUCAGACACCCAUACACACACAGACACACAGAUACACACACAGACACAUCCACAGACACACACACACACAGACACUCAUGCACAGACACACAAACAUCCACAGACACCUACACACAUACACAAACACACAGACACCCAUACACACACUCACAGACACACAAACAUACAGACACCCAUGCACACACAGACACAGACACCCACAGACAUACAGGCACACACACACACAGAGACACCCAUACACAGACAGACACACAGACACCCAAACACACACACAGACACACAAACACACAGACACCCACAGAUCCACAGACACCCAUACACACAGACACCCACACAGACACAGACACCAGUACACACACAGACACCCAUAUACACACAGACCCACAGACAUCCAUACACACACAGACACCCACACAUGCACACACAGACAUCUAUACACACACACACAGACACUCAUACACACAGACACCCAUACACACACAGCCACACAGCCACAGACACCCAUACACACACAGACACACAGACACCCACACACCCAUAUACACACAGACACACAGACAUCCAUACACACACAGACACCCAUACACACAGACACACAGACACUCACAGAUGCACAGGCACUGUAUACACACAGACACACAGACACCCACAGAUGCACAGACACCACAUACACACAGACACACAGACACCCAUAUACACACAGACACACAGACAUCCAUACACACACAGACACCCAUAUACAUGCACAGACACACAGACACUCACAGACCCACA
rnacentral:lncRNA from 13 species